GAUGAACGCUAGCGGCAGGCUUAACACAUGCAAGUCGGGGGGUAGAGGAAGCUUGCUUCCUUGAGACCGGCGCACGGGUGCGUAACGCGUAUACAAUCUACCUUUUACAGAGGGAUAGCCCAGAGAAAUUUGGAUUAAUACCUCAUAGUAUUUUCGGAUCGCAUGAUUUGAUUAUUAAAGUUCCAACGGUAAAAGAUGAGUAUGCGUCCCAUUAGCUAGAUGGUAAGGUAACGGCUUACCAUGGCAAUGAUGGGUAGGGGUCCUGAGAGGGAGAUCCCCCACACUGGUACUGAGACACGGACCAGACUCCUACGGGAGGCAGCAGUGAGGAAUAUUGGACAAUGGGCGCAAGCCUGAUCCAGCCAUGCCGCGUGCAGGAAUAAGGUCCUAUGGAUUGUAAACUGCUUUUUAUACAGGAAGAAACACACCCUCGUGAGGGUACUUGACGGUACUGUAUGAAUAAGGACCGGCUAACUCCGUGCCAGCAGCCGCGGUAAAGU
rnacentral:rRNA from 1 species